CUAGAGAUUAGAGUUUGAUCAUGGCUCAGAUUGAACGCUGGCGGCAGGCUUAACACAUGCAAGUCGAGCGGGGGAGAUUGCUUCUCUUGAGAGCGGCGGACGGGUGAGUAAUGCCUAGGAAUCUGCCUGGUAGUGGGGGAUAACGUUCGGAAACGGACGCUAAUACCGCAUACGUCCUACGGGAGAAAGCAGGGGACCUUCGGGCCUUGCGCUAUCAGAUGAGCCUAGGUCGGAUUAGCUAGUUGGUGGGGUAAUGGCUCACCAAGGCGACGAUCCGUAACUGGUCUGAGAGGAUGAUCAGUCACACUGGAACUGAGACACGGUCCAGACUCCUACGGGAGGCAGCAAUGGGGAAUAUUGGACAAUGGGCGAAAGCCUGAUCCAGCCAUGCCGCGUGUGUGAAGAAGGUCUUCGGAUUGUAAAGCACUUUAAGUUGGGAGGAAGGGCAGUAAAUUAAUACUUUGCUGUUUUGACGUUACCGACAGAAUAAGCACCGGCUAACUCUGUGCCAGCAGCCGCGGUAAUACAGAGGGUGCAAGCGUUAAUCGGAAUUACUGGGCGUAAAGCGCGCGUAGGUGGUUAGUUAAGUUGGAUGUGAAAUCCCCGGGCUCAACCUGGGAACUGCAUUCAAAACUGACUGACUAGAGUAUGGUAGAGGGUGGUGGAAUUUCCUGUGUAGCGGUGAAAUGCGUAGAUAUAGGAAGGAACACCAGUGGCGAAGGCGACCACCUGGACUGAUACUGACACUGAGGUGCGAAAGCGUGGGGAGCAAACAGGAUUAGAUACCCUGGUAGUCCACGCCGUAAAACGAUGUCAAACUAGCCGUUGGGAGCCUUGAGCUCUUAGUGGCGCAGCUAACGCAUUAAGUUGACCGCCUGGGGGAGUACGGCCGCAAGGUUAAAACUCAAAUGAAUUGACGGGGCCCCGCACAAGCGGUGGAAGCAUGUUGUUUUUAUUCCGAGCCACGCGAAUAAACUUACCAAGGCCUUGACCAUCCAAAUGAACUUUAUCUUAGAGAUUGAUUGGUGGCCUUCGGAAACAUUAUGGAUGACCAGGUUGCUUGCAUGGUCUGUCUCUCUAGCUCUCCGGU
rnacentral:rRNA from 1 species